GAUGGCUAAAAUGUUUAUAACCGGCAAUAAUAUCUACAAACGAAAGGUGGUAACAGCAUUGAUAUUUGCCUCAACCAGAAGAUGUCGUAUUUGAAAUUGUAUGUGAAACGUACGACCGUACGGAUUCGUAACACAGAUUGAAGGUAUUAUCAGUAUGCAAAUUAGGAAACGUGAAAAUAUUACUUAGACAAAUACUGUGUCUGUCAAAAUACUUGCGUUCCAAUGUUGUAUUACUUAAUUUUUAAGUUCCAAGUCACCCAAAGAAUCCGCAAUGCGUUCUUUUUGAUUCUUAGUUAAGUCAACUUUCCAUUCUGGAAGAACAUUUUUAACCUCGUCAGGGCAGUAAGUAGCAGCAAACAAGUUAGCUUCAGGAUAACGUUGAGUAGAUGUAAGUAUAUUGACGCAUUCCGCUGGUUGAUUUGUAAGCCAUGAGCAGAUGAAAGCUGUAUUAUUUAUCUUUGUGGACUUAGUGAGUUGCGAUAACUCUUUGAGACCCUCGUGAUUGUUGGUUGCAGUAUAAAGUAAAACCAAAGAUCCAUAAUCUUUACCUUUCUCAAAGCAUUCCUGAGCUAAAACAAAAUCCCAAGCAUUCAAGGCAGCAUCACCCAAAGAACGCCAUUUCAGAGGAUCAUCUAAUUCUUGAGCAAUUUGAGAAGCAAUAUCCAAUCGUUGAGCGUCUAAUGCAAGUUCAAACCGCUGUACAGAAUCACCAGAUAACUCUAAUGCAGCUUCCUUGUAUCCUAAACGGGACAAAAAGUCAGACAAACGAGGACGGUCUGUUUCAGAAAUUUGCUCCAAAAGACCUUGAGCAGCCUCUAAAUCGCCCUUUAGUACCAGUGAUUGAUAUUCAAUAAUGGCAAGGUUGAAAGAGUAGCUCACUACAUUCAUAUCACGAUCCGUGAGGUAAAUACGAUCGUCACGUGGAAUAUAGCCAAGCAAAUAAAAACUACUUUCAACGUUAGCGAUUUUGUAAGUUUGGUCACCGAUCAAGUAGUUUAGGC